UACGUAGGGUGCAAGCGUUACUCGGAAUUACUGGGCGUAAAGCGUGCGCAGGCGGUUUUGCAAGACAGAUGUGAAAUCCCCGGGCUCAACCUGGGAACUGCAUUUGUGACUGCAAGGCUAGAGUACGGUAGAGGGGGAUGGAAUUCCGCGUGUAGCAGUGAAAUGCGUAGAUAUGCGGAGGAACACCGAUGGCGAAGGCAAUCCCCUGGACCUGUACUGACGCUCAUGCACGAAAGCGUGGGGAGCAAACAGG
rnacentral:rRNA from 1 species